rnacentral:ncRNA from 1 species
CGGAGGAGUGCCUGCAGUGAAACGGGAAGCCGGUGACAUUCCGGCGCUGCCCCCGCAACGGUAAUCAGGUGAAAGGCAAUCCAGUACGCCACUGUGCCAAUGGCAUGGGAAGGUGGUUGCCCCGGAGCACAGGCUCCGCCUGUAAGCCCGGAGACCGGCCUGAAAG